GUGUGUGUAUAUAAUGCAGUGUGUUUGUGUAGUGUGCAUUAUAUAAACACACUACACAAACACACUGCAUUAUAUAAACACAC